CAUUGCAUAAAGCUUUCGCUUACAUCUUCACGAUUUUCAACUCUACACAGGGUUUCUUCAUCUUUCUUCUUCACUGCGUAAGGAACAGCGAGAUAAGAGCUCGUUUGACAAGAAGGAUUCAGGCGAUAUUCCCAGCAAUGGACGAUGGGACAAGCACGAGACAAACUUCC